rnacentral:pre_miRNA from 1 species
AUGCAGUAAUGUAGUAAGGUAUGCAGUAAUGUAACAAGGUAUGCUUACUGCAUACCUUACUACAUUACUGCAU